CGUGACCUGCAUUCGAUACGGUCGAGCUAGAGUGUGGUAGGGGAGACUGGAAUUCCUGGUGUAGCGGUGGAAUGCGCAGAUAUCAGGAGGAACACCGAUGGCGAAGGCAGGUCUCUGGGCCAUUACUGACACUGAGGAGCGAAAGCGUGGGGAGCGAACAGGAUUAGAUACCCUGGUAGUCCACGCCGUAAACGGUGGGCGCUAGUUGUGCGAACCUUCCACGGUUUGUGCGACGCAGCUAACGCAUUAAGCGCCCCGCCUGGGGAGUACGAUCGCAAGAUUAAAACUCAAAGGAAUUGACGGGGCCCCGCACAAGCAGCGGAGCAUGCGGCUUAAUUCGACGCAACGCGAAGAACCUUACCGAGGCUUGACAUAUACAGGAAUACGGCAGAGAUGUCGUAGCCGCAAGGUCUGUAUACAGGUGGUGCAUGGUUGUCGUCAGCUCGUGUCGUGAGAUGUAGGGUUAAGUCCCGCAACGAGCGCAACCCUCGUUCUGUGUUGCCAGCAUUUAGUUGGGGACUCACAGGAGACUGCCGGGGUUAACUCGGAGGAAGGUGGGGAUGACGUCAAAUCAUCAUGCCCCUUAUGUCUUGGGCUGCACGCAUGCUACAAUGGCUGGUACAAACGGCUGCAAUACCGCAAGGUGGAGCGAAUCCGAGAGAGCCAGUCUCAGUUCGGAUUGGGGUCUGCAACUCGACCCCAUGAAGUCGGAGUUGCUAGUAAUCGUAGAUCAGCAACGCUACGGUGAAUACGUUCCCGGGGCUUGUACACACCGCCCGUCACGUCACGAAAGUCGGUAACACCCAAAGUCAGUGGCCCAACCGUAAGGA
rnacentral:rRNA from 1 species